rnacentral:lncRNA from 1 species
UUUGAAACUGACCAAAGAGGGUCUUAACCUUCAUAUUAUAAGCCAAGACGCUGGAGUGAGAAACAAUGCAGGACAAAAGAGAGGACUACAGAAAAACGUAAUGUUUCUGGAGUACCGAGUUCUGUGCAGAGGUGAGAGUGGGGACAGUGGGGACUGGAGAGCCUUGUAAGCUAUAGUCAGGAAUGUGGACUUGGUCCUGAGGGAGGUGAGGGGCUGACCCACCCAGAGGGUCAUUACCCAGGAGAUAAAUGCAUGUAGCUCACUGGCUGCACUUAGGAGGGAGGGUGCAGUUAGAGGAGGGAAAACAGAGAGGUGGGUGCAGUCUACUCUAGAUCUUGCUUCUUGAUAUUUUCCUUGUUAUACAUGCACAGAAAAUGAUUCCUUUUGUAUGACACACCACGGUAAAAUGGGAAGGGGCUGUUUGCAGCUAGAGGCAACCAACACAGGGGUUCCAGACACCGGAAGUUCCUGUUCAGCCACCCCGGGGGGCUGAGGAGUCUCAGGCAGCAUGUACCCCAGUCACAGCAGACCAGACCUGGGGAGAGGAUGAGGAAAUGAUUAGGGGGCACCUGGCUGGCUCGCUUGGUAGAGCAUGCCACUUCUGAUUGUGGGUUGUGAGUUCAGUGAGUUUGAGCCCCAUGUUGGGUAUAAAGGUGACUUAGAAAAUAAAAUCUUUGAAGAAAGAAAAAAAUUCUUAGAAAGCAAAGUUAGUAUCGCUUAGUGAAGGGGUGAAGAAGGAAGAUGACCCCUGGAUUUCUGGACUGAAUAGUUGGACAAAUGUUCAUUCCCUCACUGCUGCAGGGGAUAUGGGGGCAGGACUGGUUAAUGGGAAAGCGAUGAGACGUUUGGCUGCCCUGGGUUUGAGGUGGGUGCAGAAUGUCAACAGGCAGUGACUCAGGGCUCUGGAGUCUAACAGGCUGGGUCCAACUCCUACCUUCAUCAACCUACUAGUUGUGUUACCUUGAGCAAAAAACCGGAUCUCUUUAAACCUGUUAAUUCAUCUAUAAGAUAGGUAUAAUAAUAGGGUUUCAGAGUUGUUAUUAAAUGAGAAUAAAAUGAGAUAAUGUACAGUGCCUGGAACAUAAUAAGUAUCUAAAAAUGACAACACUAUUUUUUUUAUUUAAGUUUAUUUAUUUUGAGAGAGAGAGAGAGAGAUGGAAAGCAUAGUGAGGGAGGGGCAGAAAGGGAGGGAGACAGGGAGAAUCCCAAGUAGGCUCCACACUGCCAGCCCAGAGUCUGAUGCAGGGCUCGAACCCAUGAACCACAGGAUCAUGACCUGAGCCGAAGUCAAGAGCUGAACACUUAAUGGACUGAGCCACCCAGACAUCCUGGCAACACUAUUACUGUUGUUAUUAUUAUCAAUAAAUCUGAAGUUCAGAGAAGAAGCAAUUUUAGAAGUCAUCAAAUGGGAAUUGAAACCAUGAGGAUAAAUGAGAUAACCCAGAAAGAGUGUAGAUGCUGAGAACAGUGAAGUUGAAGACCAGGAGCACUGACAUUUCAGCGGUGGACAGAGGAAGAGGAGACUAAAAACAAAUGGUCCAGAAGACAGAAGAAAGCCACCAGAGCCCGGUGCCUUGGAAUCCACACGUAGCAGCCACACACAGUUGAUCCUCUGUCUUACUUACUGUUUGCCAACAGAACCUGAUGUUGUUGGGGGUAAGCACCAUCUGGAUUCUGUGUGCCUUGCAGGAGGCAGCCCAGAGCCCCAGCUCCAAACCAGGAAGUCAGUCCUCACUCAUAAUCCCAUUGUGCUUGCCAGUGAUUGGUUUAUGAAGGUGUAUUUGAUCCCUUUCUGGCCAAUGAGACUUGGUGGAAAGUCUGUUGAGGGACUUCUGGAAAAUAUUUCUUUGAUUUAAAAAGAAAAGAUGCCCACAAAGACCAAAACCACGAUGAGAUACCACUUCAUACUCACUAGGGCAACUAGAAUCAAAAAGCCAGAUAACACCAAGUGUUGGUCAGGAUGUGGAGAAUUCAGAACCCUGGUGGGAAUUCAGAACCCUGGCGAGAAUGUAAAAAGGAAUAGCCACUUGUAAAAUAAUGUUGCAGUUCCUCAAUUAAACAUAGAGUUCCCAUAUUACCCAGCCGUUCUACUCCUGGGUAUAUACCCAGGAAAAUGAAAAAAAAAUUAUGUCCCACUGAAAUUCAUACACAAAUAUUUAUAGCAGUGUUAUUCAUAAUAGCCAAAAUGUAGACACAACACAAAUGUUCAUCAAUAGUGGAAUGGAUACCCAAAAUGUGACACAUCCAUACAAUGGAAUAAUAUUUGGCUAUAAUAAAGAAUAAGUACUGAUACAGGCUUUAACAUUAAUGAACUUUGAAAACAUUAUUUUAAGUGAGAGAAGGCAGCCACAAAAGGCCACAUACUGUAUGCUUCUAUUCAUAAUGGAAGUCCAGAAUAGGGAAAUCUAUAGAGAAAAGGUGGUUUAGUUGCUUAGGGCUGAGGAGGUGGCAGGGAGAUGGGAAAUGAUGAAUAAAGUGUAUGCGCUUUCUUCUUGAGGUGACCAAAUGUUCUAAAAUUGACAGGGGCACCUGUGUGGCUCAGUCAGUUGAGUGCCUGACUCUUGAUCUCCUCUCAGGUCAUGAUCUCGCAGUUUGUGGGAUCAAGCCCCAUGUCAGGCUCUGUGCUGAUAGCGAGGAGCCUGCUUGGGAUUCAUUCUCUCUCUCUCUCUCUCUCUCCCCUCCCCCCUGCUCACACACGCACACACUCUCUCAAAAUAAACUUUUAGAAAAAAAUCGAUAAGGGUGAUGGUCACACAUAUGUGUGAAUAUACUAAAAGCUAUUGAAUUGUACAUUUUGAAUGAGUUGUAUGUUAAUUAUAACUCAAAUUGUUGAAAAAGAAGCAACAAAAACAGUGGUACACAAAGAAUACAGAAUCUUCUCAAUGUUGUCAUGUCUGCAUGGAAUGGCUUGCCCUAACCAUCUGGCUACCAGCAUGAGGAUGGUGUGCACAGGAAGAAAGAGACAGAAAUCAUGAGAAUCCCUGGGAAGUGGCAAGGGAGCCCAGCGGCACCAUGCUCUGGGGGUCUUGAGACCCACAGAGAGGGAGUGGGACCACUGAAACUAUUGAAUUCAAGAACACGGUGCUGUGUUUGUGAUGCCAGUGUUUGGCCAUAGCCUGCCAGCACCCACGAAGCUGGCAAAUUAACAUGGAACACCACCUCAGAGAACUUAGCCAUCGCCUUGACAUUACUUGCCAGAGGACGGCCUUACUUACAGCAGGAGGAUGGCCUUCACUUGGCGUCCACUUCCCAGAUACCUCCCAUCUAAUGACUUCUUUGCUCCUUAUUCCUACUUGCAUCUCGGAUCUUCUUUUUUUUUUUUUUAAGUUUAUUUAUUUUAUUUUGAAAGAAAGAGCAAGCACGAGUGAGGGAGGAACAGAGAGAGAGAGAGAGAGAGAGAGAAUCCCAAGCAGGCUCUGCACAGCGUCGAUCCCGACACGGGGCUCGAACACAUGAACUGAGAGAUCAUGAACUGAGCUAACGUCAGAUGCUAACCAAGCAAGCCACCCAGGUGCCCCGCCCACCCGUCUCGGAUAUUCUAUCUAGAAUCAUUUUUCCUUCUGCCUGGUAUAUAUAUGUAAACUUUGGAAUUUCCUGAGGGUCUGCUUGUAAAGAUCUUUCAGUUUUGAUUUGCCAGAAAAUAUCUUUGUUUUGCCCAUGUUCUUGAAAAAAAAAUUUGGACAUAGAAGAUAGACUGGUAGUUAUUUUCUUCUGUUUCCAUUUAUGUAUGUAUGUAUGCUCUUGUGGGAGGGACGGUGGCAUGUGUCUGGGCCCUUUGACUGUUCCCUUUUCCUGCAGGGUGGACCUGAUUGUGGUCUGGGGCCUAGUGACCAGAACGUCCAGAAGAAGGGUGACAAGGGGCCCUUCGACAUGGAGGCAGUGGAUGAAAGCAGAAUGAGAUGUGUGGUCAAGAUGGAAAAGCAGGUGAGCAUGGGAGGGUUUUGCUGGUGUGGCGGAGCUGGUGGACUGAGAGGCUCUGGAAGGCUGUGGGGACAAGCAUAAGGGGAGGGUGCACUUCUCUGAGCCAUAGGCCAGAACACCUGCUGCCAAGGAGGCCUAAGCGGGGCCCAGGCUUCCCCCGCUGUUGGUGCACAGUUAUUUUCUUUCAGCAUAUGAAUAUUCCCAUCCUUGCCUAGAGCCACCUCUGAUACCAAAUGACCAGCAUUCAGUAUGGGAAAUAGAAGCCAGCAGAAAAGGAAUUUAUACAGGUACUAUAAGUCAUUAGGUGCCCUGGAAGAAUGGGCUAUAGUUUGGGCCUCCAGGAAAGACUCUGUAAACACCCAGAAGUAACUCACUAGAGGUGCUGCCAUUUGUGUGACAGUCCAGCAAGUGUUAAGGCUACCUUGGGACUCAGUCAAAUUUAGUAACACAGCACUGUUGCUGAAAGUCAGGAUGCCACCAUAACCGCAGCUGUGUCUCCGUACCCACGAAGCUGGGGCUGGACACUGGGAAGCUGCUGCAGGAAAACUCCAUGUCUCGAUAAUCUUGUUUGCCCAGAGAAGACAAUGAAAAUUGCAGAUAUAUGGUCUGUCUCACAUCUGCUCUCUGAAUUCUUUUUUUUUUUUUUUAAUUCUUCAUUGCUUAUUUAUUCUUGAGAGAGAAAGAGAGAGUGAGCCAGGGAGGGGCAGAGAGAGGGAGACACAGAAUCUGAAGCAGGCUUCAGGCUCUGAGCUGUCAGCACAGAGCCCGACGUGGGGCUUGUCGUGGGGCUCGAACUCACAAGCUGUGGGAUCAUGACUUGAGGCAAAGUCAGAUGCUUAACUGACUGAGCCACCCAGGUGCCCCUGCUCUCUAAAUUCUUAAAACCUCAUUCGCGUAACCCAACUUCAAGGGAAUCUACAAAAUGAAGCUUUUUGCUUCCCAGCCUUUUAUGGUGUAGGAAGGCACUCCAGAAGGAGAUGGGAAUUGUGAGGGAUCCCUGUUGUCACAUGACAUGCAAGGUAGGGGCCUGAAGUGACCAUUGGGUUUGACAAUUAGAAAAGCAAUGAGGCCCAGGAGAGGGCUGUGUCAGCACCGUGGUGGUGGGCAAAGCUAGACCAUCCGGGGUAGAGCGGCCAACAAGACGUGAGGAGCGAAUUCAGUGAAUGUGGAUGGUUUAGGGAGUCCCGUACAGGGACAUGGAGAGAGAGAUGGUGGAUGGAGGGCACAUCAGCUCAGGGAAAGUUUUGGAAGGUUGGUUUUCUAGGAAUGGCAGAUAAUCAAACACGCUUAUGAGGAAGGGAAGGUGCCAGCUGAAGGGAACAGAGGGAGCAAGUAGAUACAGAACGGAUGGAGAGCUUGUGGCUGGUGGGUGAGGAUGCUUACAACGUACAGCAAGACGCUCAUGAUAUUUUGCUAAGUGACAAGAGCAUAUCCUCAAACAAACAUUGUGCGAUUCCUUUCCUGUUCCACAGCAUAUUAGAUACACCAAAAUCCUCACUGAAUUGUCAGACAGCCCUCAUAGAGAUAAACGCAAUUAAUUCCACUGUUCCAAGCCGCACCCCUGAGAUGGAGCAGCCCAGCCAAUGGCAUAGGCUUGGGCAGAGCAUGUAGUAACUAGAGGGGCAGGAUAAGAGCGGGAUCGGGUGGGAUGGUUAAAGCACAUUUAUACUCUAGGGCCACAGGCUGGCUUGUUCCAUAGGCCUCAUAGUCAAGUCAUUAUCCCAAUGGUCCCACGAUCACCCUCCCUCCUGAACACGGAGGAACAGCCUGCCAGCAGUUCUAGAACCAGCUUCAGAGGCCUGGGCAUAGCAUCAGCCCAUCCCGUCCACCCGCAACAAUUGUGGAGACACACCCGGAUUCCCCUUAGUAGUUUUGGGCCAUAUCCUAAAAGAGCCCGGAUAUGUUUGCAACAUAGUCCUGUCACACUUCCUGUUUCCUCUCAGAUAAUGACCACAAGAUCCACUGACCAAGGCUGACCCCUAAGUACAUGACUUCCUUGAAAAUAACUUGACACAGCUUAAACUAACUUAGCUUUUCACCACCCUCAUCUUACCUCUCAACAUGGUUAUUUCUUGUGCCCACCUCUCUGUCUAUACAUAAAUAUAAAAUAAUAAUUUAUAUGUAAUCUAUCUUGUAUUAUUAUUGUAUGUGCAUUACAAUCUGGAAUUGUACAUUUUUAAUCAUUAUUGGCCCCAGGUUUGUUUUUUUUUUUUUUUCUUUUGGGGGAGGUGGUGCUGAAUCAUGAGAAUUCAGGCUGACAACCUAUAUGAGGAUAGGCUUGUGGUUACACAUUCUCAGAGGAGAUCCCGUACCUGAAUUCAAUUGGGAUUAGACUCCAAGAAAGGCAGUUUUUCUUGCAGUCCUCUGUAUUAUCCACACAAAAUCGAUUUUUUUUUUUCAAAUUUUAGAGACAGAGCAUGAGCGGGGGAGAGGGGCAAAGGGAGUGAGAGAGAAUUUUAAGCACGUUCCAUGCUUAGUGCAGAGCCCAAUGUGGGGCUUGAUCUCAAGACCCUGGGAUCAUGACCUGAACCAAAAUCAAGAGUUGAUCACUUAACCUACUGAACCACCCAGGUGCCCCUACAAAUUCAAUUAUAAUAAAUGUAACGAUACAUGAGCUGAACAAAAGGUAAGGAAUACUAAGGCACAAGAGCAGGGGCCUAGAGAGGUAUUCAGGGCCUUGAAGCCAGAUAUGGACUAAGGACAUGUACAAAACUGAGUGCUUAUGAACAUGGGUUUUUGUGCUCUCUCAGGACUGGCAGGACAGAAGAUAAAACCUGAUGCCCACUCAAGAGAGAAUCUUAACAGGAGACUCGCUCAAAGCUGGGACUCUGGAAGACUACAUUCUCCAUA